rnacentral:rRNA from 1 species
CCUACGGGUAGCAGCAGUGAGGAAUAUUGGUCAAUGGACGAGAGUCUGAACCAGCCAAGUCGCGUGAAGGAUGACUGCCCUAUGGGUUGUAAACUUCUUUUGUCUGGGAAUAAAAUGUUCCACGUGUGGGUUUUUGUAUGUACCCUAUGAAUAAGGAUCGGCUAACUCCGUGCCAGCAGCCGCGGUAAUACGGAGGAUUCGCGCGUUAUCCGGAUUUAUUGGGUUUAAAGGGUGCGUAGGGGGAUUGUUAAGUCAGGUGUGAACGUUGGGGGCUCAACCGUAAGAGUGCAGUUGAAACUGGCAGUCUUGAGUACAGUAGAGGUAGGCGGAAGUCGUGGUGUAGCGGUGAAAUGCUUAGAUAUCACGAAGAACUCCGAUUGCGAAGGCAGCUUACUGGAGUGCAACUGACACUGAGGCUCGAAAGUGUGGGUAUCAAACAGGAUUAGAUACCCUAGUAGUC